rnacentral:snRNA from 1 species
CUUGCUUCAGCAAAACAUACUAGAAUUGGAACAACGCAGAGAAGACUAGCAUAGUCCCUACACAAAGAUGACACACAAAUUUGGGAAGCAUUCCAUAUUUUU